GGGCGCUCUCCCGGACUCGGCCCCACCCCAGAUGGGAAGUGCGCGGCCCUGUGCCAUGGAUUGCAUGCGCGGCCUGUGGGAUGGUGAGGCCCUUUGUAGAAUCUGCGCCUUGGUGCUGCACUCACUGCAGGAAUUUUAUUAUUAUUGAGCGUGGCUUUCUAUCCGGGGUAGGUUUUGGAAUGAACAGAUGGUGGGCUCUCUCGGCUUCCAGCUUCAUAACCGAGGGAAGAUCCAGCGCGUCCCGUAGUAAUUUUCCGUCAAACUCCGACAUAGACGGGCUCUCCGCUCCUUCAGGAACGUUGUAGAUUCUGAUAUUCUUCCGCCGUGAUCUUCUCUCCAGAUCAAGCAGUUUACCUUCUUGGUGAUGAUUUUGAAGAUAUUCGCUGCUUCGACUGAACGAGGUCCGGUGGCCGCCUCGCUAGCACGUGGUCGGGUCGGAGAGCCGCUCGCUGCACUCCUCUCGGACGCAGGCUUCGCAGUGUCACUUCUUUUAUUUCCAUUCCUCUUCCCCAUUAUUGCCCCUCUUUUCAGUUCAAAUGUUAUAUUUGAUGGGUUAACGGGGCUUAAUACGCAUUUUUCCGGAGGAGCUUGUGACUUAAGCUGCCAUCCUUGACGAUGAUGUCACCGGAACCUCGGAAUGAAAUUUCUAAAUUGGUUAACACUUCAUUGUUAUGUGCCCAUCAUUCCCUUUUACAAUUGUGGUUCAUAGGGCUCACAUGUCUAAAGACAAACUAUCUCGUUUUUAUUCGGAUAUAUCCCCUUUCUGUGAUAGAUGUAAUAAUGGAGAAGCCUCAUUAAUUCACAUGUUUUGGACAUGUCCGAGCCUUGAAAGAUACUGGAAGGAAGUAUUCCAAACUUUCUUGGUACUUUUCAAGGUAAAUUUUAAGCCUAACCCUUUGACCGUAUUAUUUGAUAUUGUUGGAGGAAAAGACUGUAUUUUGGAGACACCUGAUUUGCAUAUUUUGGCUUUUACUUCUUCUAGCUAGGAGGGUGCUCUUGCUUAAAUGGAAGGAUGCUGUUCCACCUAAUCAUGCUCAAUGAUUACCGGAUUUUAUAUCAUGUCUAAAUUUAGAGAAGAUUCAAUAUUCAAAUUUUGAAUCUAGCCAAGACUUUUAUACAUUGUGAGGACCAUUUUUGAGUUACUUUCAAAACCUUUGAUUUAUUGUUAAAGUACAGAUGGUGGCUAAUAAUAUAUUUUAUUAUAUGAUAAGGGUUUCCCCCCAUUUUUUCUUAGUUUUCCUAACAGCUCUGACUUCGGUAGUGGGUUUAGAUUCUUCCUGUAUAACAGAAUUAUUAUAUUUCAAUAUUAUGAUUUAAUUUAAUUUUAUGAAUACAGGGUUUUGUGAUUGUAACUGUAUUUUUAAUACAAUGUAUUUGGUACUUUUUUUUACUUACAAUAUAUAUCAUCUUGUACUCUGUAUUCUUUUAUGCAGAAACUAAUAAAAAUA